GUGAAACACUGGUUUUUGUUUGAUCACUGAAGUUAAGCAAGGUUAAGCCCAGUCAGUACUGAGAUGAGGGGGACCACUUGGGAACAUUGGGUACUGUAAG